rnacentral:rRNA from 1 species
GAUGAACGCUGGCGGCGUGCUUAACACAUGCAAGUCGAACGAAGCAAUUUAACGGAAGUUUUCGGAUGGAAGUUAAAUUGACUGAGUGGCGGACGGGUGAGUAACGCGUGGGUAACCUGCCUCAUACAGGGGGAUAACAGUUAGAAAUGACUGCUAAUACCGCAUAAGCGCACAGUAUCGCAUGAUACAGUGUGAAAAACUCCGGUGGUAUGAGAUGGACCCGCGUCUGAUUAGCUAGUUGGUGGGGUAACGGCCUACCAAGGCGACGAUCAGUAGCCGACCUGAGAGGGUNACGGCACGAUUGGGACUGAGACACGGCCCAAAACUCCUAACGGGAGGCAGCAGUGGGGAAUAUUGCACAAUGGCGAAAGCCUGAUGCAGCGACGCCGCGUGAGCGAAGAAGUAUUCGGUAUGUAAAGCUCUAUCAGCAGGGAAGAAAAAU